UACGGAGGGUGCGAGCGUUGUCCGGAAUCACUGGGCGUAAAGGGCGCGUAGGCGGCCUGAUAAGUAGGGGGUGAAAUCCUGCGGCUUAACCGCAGGGCUGCCUUCUAAACUGUCGGGCUAGAGCACGGUAGAGGCAGAUGGAAUUCCCGGUGUAGCGGUGAAAUGCGUAGAUAUCUGGAGGAACACCGGUGGCGAAGGAGGCAUUCUGGGACUACAACUGACACUGAGGAACGAAAGCCAGGGGAGCAAACGGG
rnacentral:rRNA from 1 species